CGCGUAGGUGGUUUAGUAAGUUAGAUGUGAAAGCCCUGGGCUUAACCCAGGAAUUGCAUUUAAAACUGCUGAACUAGAGUGUGAUAGGGGAAUGUGGAAUUCCGAGUGUAGAGGUGAAAUUCGUAGAUAUUCGGAGGAACAUCUGAGGCGAAGGCGACAUUCUGGGUCACAACUGACACUAAGGUGCGAUAGCGUGGGGAGCAAACA
rnacentral:rRNA from 1 species